rnacentral:rRNA from 1 species
AUUGAACGCUGGCGGCAUGCCUUACACAUGCAAGUCGAACGGUAACAGGUUAAGCUGACGAGUGGCGAACGGGUGAGUAACAUAUCGGAACGUGCCCAGUCGUGGGGGAUAACGCAGCGAAAGCUGUGCUAAUACCGCAUACGAUCUACGGAUGAAAGCGGGGGACCGUAAGGCCUCGCGCGAUUGGAGCGGCCGAUAUCAGAUUAGGUAGUUGGUAAGGUAAAGGCUCACCAAGCCAACGAUCUGUAGCUGGUCUGAGAGGACGACCAGCCACACUGGAACUGAGACACGGUCCAGACUCCUACGGGAGGCAGCAGUGGGGAAUUUUGGACAAUGGACGCAAGCCUGAUCCAGCCAUUCCGCGUGCAGGAUGAAGGCCCUCGGGUUGUAAACUGCUUUUGUACGGAACGAAAAGGUCUCUCCUAAUACGAGGGGCUCAUGACGGUACCGUAAGAAUAAGCACCGGCUAACUACGUGCCAGCCGCCGCCGUAA